CUUGGGAUUCUCUCUCUCCCUCUCUCUUUCUCUCUGUCCCUCCCCACUCGCCCUCUCUCCCUCUUUCCCUCUCUCUCUAAAUAAAUAAAACUUUAAAAAAUGAAAUAUUCAUGAAUAUGUGUACUCCAGAAUUUGUAUAUUGUGAGUGGCCAAAUUCUGAUCAUUGAAUCCAUUUCCCAAUAACAGGAAGACUCAUGGUUAAUUAGAUAUAUAACAUAUGGUGCUGUUUUUCUCCUAUAGCCAGAAUUCAUGAGUCCAGGAAGCAAGGGGUAACAAUGGGAAUGGUAAAUCUCACUGUUAAGCCUAAUAAUUCACUAGCACAAUUUUGCUUCCUGUCCCCAUGACCUUAUGUUCCACUGGUCUAGAGGUCUUUGUUCCAAGGGGAGGAAUGUUUCUACCAGACGAUACAAUAAUGAUUCCACUGAACUGGAAAUUAAGACUGCCGACUGGCCACUUUGGGUUCUCCAUGUGUCUGAAUCAACAGGCAAAGAAAGGAGUUACUGUGCUGGCUGGGGUGAUUGAUCCUGACUACCAAGGGGAAAUUGGACUACUCAUCCACCAUAGAAGGAAAGAAGAGUAUGUCUGAAAUACAGGGGAUCCCUUCGUAUUACCAUGCCCUGUGAUUAAGGCCAAUGGAAAACUACAACAACCCAACCCAGACAGAACAACUAAUGGCUCACAUCCUUCAGGAAUGAAGAUUUGGGUCACCCUAACGGUAAAGAAUCAUGCAUGACCACCUGAGAUGCUGGCUGAAGACAAAGGGAAAACAGAAUGGGUAGUGGAAGAAGGUAGUUAUAAAUACAAGCAAUGACCAUGUGACUAGUUAUAGAAGUGAGGACUAUAAUUGUCAUGAUAUUCUUCAAGAAGCAUAGAAGGAUGAUAACAAGUAGUACUUGCUCCAAAUGUUGCCAUAGGUGAACUGGACAACAUGAACUUCCUGAGACCUGGACAUUCAUAGACUUACCUUGUUUGUAACAUUUGCUUCCUUCUGCCUCUGUUGUCAUGUACACAGUGAACGUGACUUACAAAGAAGGCAGUGUCAAAUUGUUUGCUAUGUUUCUUUUGUAACGGAUUUUAUUUUUCUUCCAAUUUUAGUCCUGCCUAAUUGUUCCAUUCAAGUAAAGUCAUUUAAUCUCU